AAUAGAUACCCAGGUAGUCCACGCCGUAAACGAUGAGUGCUAAGUGUUAGAGGGUUUCCGCCCUUUAGUGCUGAAGUUAACGCAUUAAGCACUCCGCCUGGGGAGUACGGCCGCAAGGCUGAAACUCAAAGGAAUUGACGGGGGCCCGCACAAGCGGUGGAGCAUGUGGUUUAAUUCGAAGCAACGCGAAGAACCUUACCAGGUCUUGACAUCCUCUGACAACCCUAGAGAUAGGGCUUCUCCUUCGGGAGCAGAGUGAUAGGUGGUGCAUGGUUGUCGUCAGCUCGUGUCGUGAGAUGUUGGGUUAAGUCCCGCAACGAGCGCAACCCUUGAUCUUAGUUGCCAUCAUUAAGUUGGGCACUCUAAGGUGACUGCCGGUGACAAACCGGAGGAAGGUGGGGAUGACGUCAAAUCAUCAUGCCCCUUAUGACCUGGGCUACACACGUGCUACAAUGGACGGUACAAAGAGCUGCAAGACCGCGAGGUGGAGCUAAUCUCAUAAAACCGUUCUCAGUUCGGA
rnacentral:rRNA from 1 species